rnacentral:lncRNA from 1 species
GGCGCCACUACACUCCAGCCUGGGCGACAGAGCGAGACUCCGUCUCAAAAAAAAAUUUUUUUUUUUGGUAGAUACGGGGUCUUGCUUUGUCACCCAGGCUGGUCUCAAACUCCUGAGCUCGAGUGCUCCUUCUGCCUCAGCCUCCCAAAGUGCUGGGAUUACAGGCGUGGGCUGCUGUGCCCAGCAGGAAUAAUUUCUCAGUGCAUCUCUGAUGGGGAGGCUAAUGAAGAAAGGACACCUGGUUUGAAGGCUUCUCUGUGUCUGUCCGUGGGCGCUACUGAUCUGAGCCAAGCACCAUUCCGCAGGCAUGCCUGAAAUGACUCCCAUGGCUGUCAUGGUGCCAUCUGGAGAGCAUUUGCUCACUGUAAUGGUCCCGUCACACUUGUCUGAUGAGGAUCUGUUGGUUGACUUUGACAGUGAUAAACGAACACAGCCUAUCUGGGUGUUUUUUGCACUUAUAGUUUGGGGGUUUGAAGUACUGGCUAGAAGCUGGCGGGGUGUGUGUGUGCAGGUGUGCGAGUGCAUGUGCAAGUGUGCGUGCAAGUGUGAGUCUGCACUUGUGUGCAAGAGAAUGUGUGUGUGUGUGUGUUUGGAGAUUUGGACUUGAAAAUUCUAGCUCAGGUCUUUGGGGUAGUGUUUGACCUGAACUCUGAAAGGCAGAGGGUCCCAGACUUUCCUGGGAUGAUGGGAACUGGGCACCCCAGAUGAGGCUCGGUUGUGAGUAGGAGCGGGGUGGGCCACCGAAGAGAAGACAGAGUGGGCCUGUAGGGCCAGCCCGAGGUACCCACAGUGGAGGGUCUACAGGCUGAUUUGGGAGGUGGUGGUUUAUACCUGUAGUCACCUUCUAUCUUAGUUAGGAAUUCACCUUCACACUUCCAGAAACUGCCAAGAAGAAUGCCGCCGCUCAGGUUUAUCUGGUAGAAUAAGCUGUUUGAACAAAGAUCUGGAGGUUGCACAAUCCUGUGUCAUUCUGGAUUUAUCUUGGGGUCGGGAGUCAACGAUACUUCUUGUGCUGUCGUUUCUCCGGCCGUGUGAAGUUACCACCUCGUGAGUGGUCAUAAGUUAGCGUGUCUAAAUGCACUUUGAAAUCCUAGGAUGAAAAAGCCAGGCCCUGUCUUUUUUCCUUGUCUAAGCACCAUCCUUGCUUAGGAGAGACACGGCUGUGGCUCUCAGGCUGUGGGGCAAUGUUCUGCUUAUAAUGUUUCAAGAGGUUCAAAGCGUGCAGGCCCCAUGCUCCGUGAGAGCCUUGACCUGGGUCAGCAGGGGCGGCUGGGCUUGACUCGAGAAUUCCCACAGGGCCCGAGGGAAGAGCAGAGCAAGAGGGAGGAGCGCGUGGAGCCCUAUGUGGCCUGCGAUAUUGGGGUGGCGUCCAGGCCCGCCUAGAUGGGGGAGGGAGACAACAGAGCUGCCACCUGCUCACCGCAGACCCAGGGGCCCAGGAGGAGCGGACUAGGACCGGCAGUGCCUUCCAGCCUAGGUCUCCUGCCCCUGGGCUGGAGUUCAUCUUUUAGGCAAAUUUGGAAUAGGAACCUUAAAAAUGCUUUCUUCACUCGUUUAAAUAGUAAUGAUAAGAAUAUGGCUGCAGGGGGCAGCUUAUGCCUGUAAUCCCACCAUUUUGGGAGCUCAAGGCAGGAGUAUUGCUUGAGCCCAGAAGUUUGAGACCAGUCUGGGCAACAUAGUGGAAACUUGUCUCUCCAAAAGCUAAAAGAAAAAGCCGUGCAUGGUGGUAUGCACCUGUAGUCCCAGCUACUUGGGAGGCUGAGGUGGGAGGAUCGCUUGAGUCUGGGAGGUCGAGGCUGCUGUGAGCCAUGAUUGCACCACUGCAUUCCAGCCUGGGUGACAGAGCAAGAUCUUGUCUUAAAAAAAAAAAAAAAAAAAAAGGUGUUGUAUUUUAUCAUUAGAAGGCCAUCCUGUUUAGAAGAGUGGGUUUCUCAUAAGAAAAAAAAGAAAAAGGUUGACCUUGUAAGUAUAUUUUCUUGGGUGAAUUGUGGUGGUGGUAAUGGUUUUAACUGGUGUUAAUUUCAGUUCUUUUAAAAGUUGUGGUAAGAUACAUGCAACAUAAAAUGUGCCCUCUUCCCCAUUUUUAAGUGAACAGUUCAGUGGCAUUAAGCACAUUCAGUUUGCCUGCCACCGUUACCACCAUCCAUCUCCAAAAUUCUCUCCAUUUACAAAACUGAAACUCUGUCCCUAUUAAACACUAGCUCCCCAUUCCCCACUGUGCCGCCCCCCCAAAGCCCCUGGCACCAACCAUUCUACUUCCUGUCUCUGAGUUUGACUAGGGACCUCCUGUAAGUGGAUUUGUACAAUAUUUGUCCUUUUGUGUCUGGCUUCUUCAUGUAGUAUAAUGUCUUCAAGGUUCAUUCAUGUUGUAGUCAGGAUCACCUUCCUUUUAAAGGUUGAACGAUAUCCCGUUGUAUGGACAGACCACAUUUUAUCCAUUCACCCAGGGAUGGACACCUGGGUUGCUUCCAUCUCUCGGCUCUUGUGAAUAAUGCUGCUGUGAACACGGGUGUGCAGAUACCUGUUCAAGUCCCUGCUGUUUUCUUUUGAGACGGAGUCUCGCUCUGUCUCCCAGGCUGGAGUGCGGUGGCACCAUCUCAGCUCACUGCAAGCUCCGCCUCCCAGGUUCAGGCCAUUCUCCUGCCUCAGCCUCCCGAGUAGCUGGGACUACAGGUGCCCACCACCACGCCUGGCUAAUUUUUUGUAUUUUUAGUAGAGACGGAGUUUCACCAUGUUAGCCAGGAUGCUCUGGAUCUCCUGACCUCGUGAUCCACCCACCUCGGCCUCCCAAACUGCUGGGAUUACAGGCAUGAGACACCACGCCCCGCCGAGUCCCUGCUUUUAAUUCUUUGGGGCAGGGAUCCCCAACCCCCUGGUGAUGGACCAAUACUGGCCUGCGGCCCCUUAGGAACUGGACUGCACAGCAGGAGAUGGCAUGGGAAAGUAGCACACAGUCGGGACUCUGCAGCCGAGUUUGCCUCCUUGAAUGCACACAUAACACAGGAACAAAGACAGAGCUGCUUCCCUCCUGUUGGGUCUCUGGCGGACAGUCAGGUAUGCUGAGGGAGACACUGUUCUCAAACUCCAGGCCAGGGUGGUUUCCGGAGGGUCCACCGGUGGUCUCAUCUCUUCUCUCUCAAACCAUGGAUGGUGCCUUUUAAAGAAAAUGACACCGGCCAGGUGCGGUGGCUCAUGGCUGUAAUCCCAGCACUUUGGGAGGCCGAGGCGGGUGGAUCACCUGAGGUCGGAAGUUCAACACCAGCCUGGCCAACAUGGUGAAACCCCGUCUCUAUUAAAAAUACAAAAAUUAGGCCGGGCGCGGUGGCUCACGCCUGUAAUCCCAGCACUUUGGGAGGCCGAGGCGG